rnacentral:rRNA from 1 species
GGGGUUUCGGCCCCGUCCUUUGGUGACUCUGGAUAACUUUGUGCCGAUCGCAUGGCCUCGAGCCGGCGACGCAUCUUUCAAAUGUCUGCCCUAUCAAAUGACGAUGGUACGUGAUCUGCCUACCAUGUUGGCAACGGGUAGCGGGGAAA